UUAAAUUGAAGAGUUUGAUCAUGGCUCAGAUUGAACGCUGGCGGCAGGCCUAACACAUGCAAGUCGAACGGUAAUAGGAAGCAGCUUGCUGCUU
rnacentral:rRNA from 2 species